UUGGACAAUGGGGGCAACCCUGAUCCAGCCAUUCCGCGUGAGUGAAGAAGGCCUUCGGGUUGUAAAGCUCUUUCGGCAGGAACGAAACGGCGAGCUCUAACAUAGCUCGCUAAUGACGGUACCUGAAGAAGAAGCACCGGCUAACUACGUGCCAGCAGCCGCGGUAAUACGUAGGGUGCGAGCGUUAAUCGGAAUUACUGGGCGUAAAGCGUGCGCAGGCGGUUGUGUAAGACAGGUGUGAAAUCCCCGGGCUUAACCUGGGAACUGCGCUUGUGACUGCACGGCUAGAGUAUGGCAGAGGGGGGUGGAAUUCCACGUGUAGCAGUGAAAUGCGUAGAGAUGUGGAGGAACACCGAUGGCGAAGGCAGCCCCCUGGGCCAAUACUGACGCUCAUGCACGAAAGCGUGGGGAGCAAACAGGAUUAGAUACCCUGGUAGUCCACGCCCUAAACGAUGUCGACUAGGUGUUCGGUGAGGAGACUCAUUGAGUACCGCAGCUAACGCGUGAAGUCGACCGCCUGGGGAGUACGGUCGCAAGAUUAAAACUCAAAGGAAUUGACGGGGACCCGCACAAGCGGUGGAUGAUGUGGAUUAAUUCGAUGCAACGCGAAAAACCUUACCUACCCUUGACAUG
rnacentral:rRNA from 1 species